rnacentral:rRNA from 1 species
GACGAACCGUGCGAACGUUGUUCGGAAUCACUGGGCUUAAAGGGCGCGUAGGCGGGCUGUCCAGUCUGGGGUGAAAUCCCGCGGCUCAACCGUGGAACUGCCUCAGAUACUGACGGCCUCGAGGGAGGUAGGGGCGUGCGGAACUGUAGGUGGAGCGGUGAAAUGCGUUGAUAUCUACAGGAACUCCGGUGGCGAAGGCGGCGCGCUGGACCUCUUCUGACGCUGAGGCGCGAAAGCCAGGGGAGCAAACGGG